rnacentral:rRNA from 2 species
UAGGGAAUCUUCGGCAAUGGGGGGAACCCUGACCGAGCAACGCCGCGUGAGUGAAGAAGGUUUUCGGAUCGUAAAGCUCUGUUGUUAAGGAAGAACGAGUGUGAGAAUGGAAAGUUCAUGCUGUGACGGUACUUAACCAGAAAGGGACGGCUAACUACGUGCCAGCAGCCGCGGUAAUACGUAGGUCCCGAGCGUUGUCCGGAUUUAUUGGGCGUAAAGCGAGCGCAGGCGGUUAGAAAAGUCUGAAGUGAAAGGCAGUGGCUCAACCAUUGUAGGCUUUGGAAACUGUUUAACUUGAGUGAAGAAGGGGAGAGUGGAAUUCCAUGUGUAGCGGUGAAAUGCGUAGAUAUAUGGAGGAACACCGGUGGCGAAAGCGGCUCUCUGGUCUGUAACUGACGCUGAGGCUCGAAAGCGUGGGGAGCGAACAGG